rnacentral:rRNA from 1 species
AACGAACGCUGGCGGCAUGCCUAACACAUGCAAGUCGAACGAGACCUUCGGGUCUAGUGGCGCACGGGGGCGUACGGCGUGGGAACCUGCCCGUAGGUUCGGAAUAACUCCCCGAAGGGGGUGCUAAUACCGGAUAAGGUCAUAGGACCAAAGAUUUAUCGCUGUUGGCUGGGCCCGCGUUGGAUUAGCUAGUUGGUAGGGGAAAAGCCGGGCAAGGAGACGUUGCUUAGCUGGUCGGGGAAGAUGACAAGCCACACUGGGAAUGAGACACGGACCAGACCGGUAGGGGAGGCAGCAGUGGGGAGUAUUGGACGCGGGGGGAAAGCGUGACAACGCCACGCCGGGUGAGUGAUGAAGGGCUUAGGGUUGCAAAGCUCUUUUACCCGGGAUGAUAAUGACAGUAACGGGAGAAUAAGCACCGGCUAACUCCGUG